rnacentral:rRNA from 1 species
CACAAGCAGCGGAGCAUGUGGUUUAAUUCGAAGCAACGCGAAGAACCUUACCAGGUCUUGACAUCCCUCUGAAUGGCGCAUAGCAGCGCAGGUCUUUCGGGACAGAGGAGACAGGUGGUGCAUGGUUGUCGUCAGCUCGUGUCGUGAGAUGUUGGGUUAAGUCCCGCAACGAGCGCAACCCUUGCCUUUAGUUGCCAGCACGUUAUGGUGGGCACUCUAGAGGGACUGCCGGUGACAAACCGGAGGAAGUGGGGAUGACGUCAAAUCAUCAUGCCCCUUAUGAUCUGGGCUACACACGUGCUACAAUGGCCGGUACAACGAGAAGCGAAACCGCGAGGUGAAGCAAAUCUUUUAAAGCCGGUCCCAGUUCGGAUUGCAGGCUGAAACUCGCCUGCAUGAAGUUGGAGUUGCUAGUAAUCGCGGAUCAGCAUGCCGUGGUGAAUGCGUUCCCGGGUCUU